UACGUAGGGUGCAAGCGUUGUCCGGAAUUAUUGGGCGUAAAGAGCUCGUAGGCGGCUUGGCAAGUCGGGUGUGAAACCUCCAGGCUCAACCUGGAGACGCCACUCGAUACUGCUAUGGCUAGAGUCCGGUAGGGGACCACGGAAUUCCUGGUGUAGCGGUGAAAUGCGUAGAUAUCGGGAGGAACACCAGUGGCGAAGGCGGUUGCCUGGAGCUUUGCUGACGCUGAUGCGCGAAAGCGUGGGGAGCGAGUCCGG
rnacentral:rRNA from 1 species